GGAGGCUGCUGGAUACAGAGCCCCCCAGCCUCUUAACCCCUCCUCUCUCACUUCCUGUAGAGCCACAAAUGUGCUCCAAAGGCUGCAAGCAUUUCAAUGCCACGUCACAGGAGCCUGGAUAUCCCUGGGCUUGCUCUGCAGCAUCCACUUCUGCAGCGAUAUAGGGAAGACUGGUUACUCCAAGUCCUGAACACUAGAAGAACUGUUCAAGUCUCUCCAAAGCUGCAUGCCCAGCCAUAGCAAAACCUGACAUUCUUUAAACUUUUUGCAAUAUCCAACGGUCUAGACUAAAAGUGCGCAGAAACGGUUAGAAGCUACUGGGGUCACUUAAGUAAACCAAAUAAAAUAAAUAAAACCCUGAUGUUAUAGCAUGUGACAGUGGAAGUGUUACUACAAGACAUAGCGCCAGUUCUGCUAGUUUACUUUGAUCCACGUCUCAUAAUCCAGCCCCUUUGUUGCAUUGCUAACCAGACUGCUUACUAGCUCCACGUCUGCUCUACAUCUUAUAAAUUGGGUGCAGGGAGGAUAGUGGCAUACAGGGUUAACAAGACCUCGGGGUCAGCCUUAGAUGCCAAGGUCACCAAAUUGCUAGGGGCGAAUUGCUUGGAGAAGUUAGUUUGAAGAUUUAACUCCGCUAACAAAGGCGGGCGCACAUCUGGCGGUCAGACGGGCACAAAGACACGACUAUUCUGCAGUUCUGUGAGGCACAGGAAGUGGCGAGGAAUUUUCUUGAUCGUCGCCGGCUGGGAUUCUGCAAUUCAGAGCCUGACCCCGUUCGCCCAGUGUUCAGACUACGUGUUCGUUGGACUGUGAUUGAACAGUAGUCUACACACUGGUUAAACUGGGAUGGACAACCACCGACAUGAAGACACACGGAACCUCAAUGGAGAGAACAGGAGACACAUGGCAAGCAGAUGUGUGUGUGAGUUCAUGUUAGAAUGCAACUGCCUCAAAAUGUGUUCUAAAAAAAAAAA